AGACAGGUCGCCUGUUCUCAGCUGGACCAUGAAGAGGUUCCUUGAGCCUGCCAGCAGGGGCUCCCUGAGUUCAGAGGCAGAGUUGUCUCAGUAUUUCCCACAGGAACUUUCCAGCCACUCAUUCCCAGCUGAAUCCAUGUUGAUGGGCUCAGAUGGUGACGAUAUCCUCCACCAGCAGAGCUGCAUUACCUCCAUGGACGACUGCUCAUCAAAACCACAUGGAUUCAGCCCAGCUCUGACAGAAGUGGAAGACGGCCGUGUGUACAACAACAUCCAAGACCAAACCUCUGCACCUCUCAGUCACCAUGUGGAGGCCGUGUGCCAGCCCAUCACAUGGUCCAGCCCCCCCACAGCACACAGCCCACUUCUGUGCCAGGUGAAGUGCUUCGAGGAUGACCUCAGCGAUGAAGAAAAUUC
rnacentral:lncRNA from 1 species